GAGAGAGAGAGAGAAAUCUAGAUGGCUAAGGACUAGGGCAGUACCAUUAUAUGAGUUGAUUGUUUUAGUUAAAGACUUUUGGCAAACCUUCAUUUCCAGGCCCACUUCUCACUGUUGCCCCAUUUCAGAUGCCUUCUCUACUUCUGCACCCCUGCCAAAGAUUCUGUCAGGAAUUUCUUUCAUCCUCUUCUCUGAGAAUUUGACUGUGUCUCACCACAUUCACUGCUAACUUUCUACCAAAAAUUGUUAAAAUCCAUCAACCACUUAAGGCUCCACUAUCAUUCUCUUUAUGGUUGUAUCUUUAUCCUUUUAAUUCUUUACAUUUUACUUUAAAAAUUAAUAGACUUUAUUUUUUGGAGCAGUUCUAGGUUUACAGAAAAAUGAGUGGAAAAUACAUACAGUCCUCAUAUACAAAUUUCCUCUUCAAGUUUCCGCUGUUAGCAUCUUCCAUUAGUGUACUACAUUUGUGACAGUUGACAAGCCAAUAUUGAUACAUUAUUUUGGACUAAAGUCCAUAGUUUAGGGUUUAUUCUUUGUGUUGUACAGUACUCAGGGUUUAGACAAAUGCAUAAUUUCCCCAAAUUGGAAGCAACCAAGAUGUCCUUCUACAGAUGAGUCAAACUGUGGUACAUUCAUAAAGUGGAAUUUUAUUCAGCAAUAAGAAGAAAAGAGCUGUUAAGCCAGGAAAAGACAUGGAAGAACCUUAAAUGCCUAUAGCUAAAGGAAGGAAGCCAGUCUGAAGAGGCUGUCUAUACUGUAUGAUUCAAAUUAUAUGACAUUCUGGAAAGUGCAAAAAAAAAAGAGAGAUAGUAAAAAGAUCAGUGAUAGCCAGGGGUUCAGGGGGAGGAGAAGAUACAUAAGUAGGUAGAGCACAGAGCAUUUUGGGGCAGCAACACUAUUCUGUAUGAUGUGAUGAUAUAUCCUGCUGUUUAGCUGUAAACUUGAUCACAUUUCUCCUAUUGUUAUAAACUUCAGUAAACGUUGUUUUUAUUAUCUCUUCU
rnacentral:lncRNA from 10 species